GACGAACCGUGCGAGCGUUGUUCGGAAUCACUGGGCUUAAAGGGCGCGUAGGCGGGCCUCCCAGUCCGGGGUGAAAGCUUUCGGCUUAACCGGAAAAGUGCCUUGGAUACUGGAGGUCUGGAGGGAGGUAGGGGCAGUCGGAACUUCCGGUGGAGCGGUGAAAUGCGUUGAUAUCGGAAGGAACGCCGGUGGCGAAAGCGGACUGCUGGACCUUUUCUGACGCUGAGGCGCGAAAGCGUGGGGAGCAAACAGG
rnacentral:rRNA from 1 species